rnacentral:rRNA from 1 species
UACGUAGGGGGCAAGCGUUGUCCGGAUUUAUUGGGCGUAAAGAGCGUGUAGGCGGUCUGUCACGUCGGGAGUGAAAACACGGGGCUUAACCCCGUGCCUGCUUCCGAUACGGGCAGACUAGAGGUAUGCAGGGGAGAACGGAAUUCCUGGUGUAGCGGUGAAAUGCGCAGAUAUCAGGAGGAACACCGGUGGCGAAGGCGGUUCUCUGGGCAUUACCUGACGCUGAGGAGCGAAAGUGUGGGGAGCGAACAGG